rnacentral:rRNA from 1 species
CGUAGGUGGCAAGCGUUGUCCGGAAUUAUUGGGCGUAAAGCGCGCGCAGGCGGUUCCUUAAGUCUGAUGUGAAAGCCCCCGGCUCAACCGGGGAAGUCAUUGGAAACUGGGGAACUUGAGUGCAGAAGAGAAGAGCGGAAUUCCACGUGUAGCGGUGAAAUGCGUAGAGAUGUGGAGGAACACCAGUGGCGAAGGCGGCUCUUUGGUCUGUAACUGACGCUGAGGCGCGAAAGCGUGGGGAGCAAACAGGAUUAGAUACCCUGGUAGUCCACGCCGUAAACGAUGAGUGCUAAGUGUUAGAGGGUUUCCGCCCUUUAGUGCUGCAGCUAACGCAUUAAGCACUCCGCCUGGGGAGUACGGCCGCAAGGCUGA